CUCCGAGGCACAGUCUGUAAAAUGAAGAUAACCUACCUUAUAGGAACACUCUGAUUAAAUUAUGAAACAAUAAACUAUAAAGCACUGUGCAAAUACAAUUUCACUUUGAAGUCAUCAGUUUCCAUUCUUCUCUCCCCUGGGUUCACUCAUGUGCCUCCCAGAGCCCCUAGGUCCCUUCCCUGCCUCUCGCUGCCAGGUAGAAGAGCACUCACUGCCUUCACCCAGUCCUUGCGUGUAUCACCUCAUUUAAUCUUCGAAGCAAUCCUGGAAGGACAUCUCAUCUCAGCCCUGAUGAGGACAAGGAUUCAAGGAAACUUCACUUGCCUUCUCUUCUGCCGGUUUCCCAGACCAGCCUGCAGUGGCAACGGCACAUGAAGGUUGUGCGCUGACUGCUACACGGUGACAGAUUCUAGCUUACUGCCUGUCGCCCUUGUGGGCCCUGGAAUCCAGACCCAUAUCCUGGGAGUCACGUGAGAUCAAAGGUACGAUUGCUCCAUUGGUCCUAAAUUACUUCACUCUGAGUUCAGACGCUUCAUGGUACAAAUGCUCAGAUGCACUGAGGGCCUCACCUGGCACUUGAGAAA